GAGGGCGGAAGCGGCCCCGGGGCAGGCUGGGAGAUGUAGUUCCUGACUCUCCCCGGAGCGGAAGUGUUGUCAGCGGGGAAGCCGGAACCGGGCUGGCUCGCGCGGGGCCGUUGGAGCCUCUCCCGGGCCGGAGAAGGGUGUGUGACUGAGAUCAGGGCUCUUAUCGUACUGAGUGUGGGCCUGUUCUGACAGCGGCUGCAGAGACCCCAACUGAGAUCUGGGCCCUGUUCUGCCAGGUGCUGAAGAGACCCCAGGUGUGUGACUGAGAUCAGGGCUCUUAUCGUACUGAGCAUGGCCCUGUUCUGCCAGGUGCUGCA